AGUGGCGGACGGGUGAGUAACGCGUGAGAAUCUGCCUUGGGGUCGGGGACAACCACUGGAAACGGUGGCUAAUACCGGAUAAGCCGAUUGGUGAAAGAUUUAUUGCCCGAAGAGGAGCUCGCGUCUGAUUAGCUAGUUGGUGAGGUAAGAGCUCACCAAGGCAGCGAUCAGUAGCUGGUCUGAGAGGACGAUCAGCCACACUGGGACUGAGACACGGCCCAGACUCCUACGGGAGGCAGCAGUGGGGAAUUUUCCGCAAUGGGCGAAAGCCUGACGGAACAAGACCGCGUGAGGGAGGAAGGCUCUUGGGUUGUAAACCUCUUUUCUCAGGGAAGAAGCUCUGACGGUACCUGAGGAAUCAGCCUCGGCUAACUCCGUGCCAGCAACCGCGGUAAUACGGAGGAGGCAAGCGUUAUCCGGAAUUAUUGGGCGUAAAGCGUCCGCAGGUGGCGAUUCAGGUCUGCUGUCGAAGCACGGGGCUUAACGCCGUAAAGGCAGUGGAAACUGAAUAGCUAGAGUGCCGUAGGGGUAGAGGGAAUUCCCGGUGUAGCGGUGAAAUGCGUAGAGAUCGGGAAGAACAUCGGUGGCGAAAGCGCUCUACUGGACGGCAACUGACACUCAGGGACGAAAGCUAGGGGAGCGAAUGGGAUUAGAUACCCC
rnacentral:rRNA from 1 species